UGAACGCUGGCGGCAGGCCUAAUACAUGCAAGUCGAACGGCUCUUCGGAGCAGUGGCGGACGGGUGAGUAACGCGUGGGAAUGUGCCCUUAGGUACGGAACAACACAGGGAAACUUGUGCUAAUACCGUAUGUGCCCUUCGGGGGAAAGAUUUAUCGCCUUUGGAGCAGCCCGCGUUGGAUUAGGUAGUUGGUGAGGUAAAGGCUCACCAAGCCGACGAUCCAUAGCUGGUCUGAGAGGAUGACCAGCCACACUGGGACUGAGACACGGCCCAGACUCCUACGGGAGGCAGCAGUAGGGAAUCUUGCGCAAUGGGCGAAAGCCUGACGCAGCCAUGCCGCGUGUAUGAUGAGGGUCUUAGGAUUGUAAAAUACUUUCACCGGGGAAGAUAAUGACGGUACCCGGAGAAGAAGCCCCGGCUAACUUCGUGCCAGCCGCCGCAGUAAAAC
rnacentral:rRNA from 1 species